AUCUUUAAAUUUAAAGAUUUGGCGGUAUUUUAGUCUAUUCAGAGGAACCUGUUUUUUAAUCGAUAAUCCACGAUAUAAUUUACUUUAAUUUUAAAUUUGUAUACCAUCGUAGUUUGAAUAUUUUUUGAUAAAAUAUUUUCAGAUCAAGGUGCAGUUUAUAUUAAAGUUAAAAUGGGUUACAAUAGAAUUUUUUAAUAAAUUGGAUUUGAUAGUAAGCUCUAAAAUAUGUACAUAUCGCCCGUCGCUUUCAUUUUAAAGUGAAAUAAGUCGUAACAAAGUAGGCUUAUUGGAAAAUGAGCCUGGAAUUCAAAUUAGAGCUUGAUAAGCAUUUUAGUUACAUUAAAAAGUUAAUUGUGAAAUUCAAUUUAAUUUGAAUAUAAAAAUUUAUUUUAUUUAAGUUUAUUUAUUUUUAAUAAAAAAUUUUAUUUUUUAAGUAUUUAAAUAGAAAUAUUUAAUAAUAGUUUAUAGUAUUGUGAAAGAAUAUUUUUAUUAAUUUAAAAGAAGAUUUAAUUAUUGUACCUNNNNNNNNNNNNNNNNNNNNNNNNCUCGAAUUUUAAAGAGCUAAUAUUAUUGUAAAAUAAAUAUUUUUAAUAUUUUCUUAGUAAUGAAACGUUAAUCGUUUUUUAAUAUAUCUAGUUUUUUUAGAAAUAAAUUCAAUUAGAAAAUUUUAUAAUAUUAUAUUAGGGGAAAAUCUUUUAAGCAAAUUUUUAUAAUUAAAUAAUUAUUUAUUAAAAAUAGGAUUAGAAUUUUCUAUUUUUAAAAGAAUGUUAUAAUUGAUUUUUUAAUUUUUUUAUUAAAAUAUAUUUUUUAAUUUAAAAUAUUUAGUAAAAAUGAUAUAAUUAGUAAAGUUAAUUUAAGUAAUUCGGCAAUUAUUUUUCUCACCUGUUUAUUAAAAACAUGUCCUUUUGAUUUUAAUUUAAGGUCUGGCCUGCUCUAUGAUUAAAUGGCCGCAGUAUUCUGACUGUGCAAAGGUAGCAUAAUCAUUAGUUUUUUAAUUGAAAGCUGGAAUGAAUGGUUUGAUGAAGAAAAAUCUGUCUCUAGAAUUUUAUUUUUAAGUUAAAAAGCUUAAAUUUUAUAAAAAGACGAGAAGACCCUAUAGAGUUUUUUUGUUGGGGUGAUAUAAAAAUUUAAUUAACUUUUUAUUUUGGUGAUUUGUUGAUCCUAGAUUAAAAGAAAAAAUUACCUUAGG
rnacentral:rRNA from 1 species